UUUAAAUUUUUAAAUUUAAAAAACCAUUCUGUACAAAGCACUCAGAUUCACAGAUGAGAAACAGCAUGUUAAAGCACUCUAUAGGUCAUCAAUAUUAUACAAAUGUUCUUAACACACAGCCCACAAAACCAAAUAU